rnacentral:lncRNA from 1 species
GGAGGGGCGGACCAGGCCCUCCCGGGUCACCUCGGGGUUAUCUGCGCUCGCAGCUGCCGCUCCCCCGCCCCCUGGGGCUGGACAGGGGCCCGCCGCCCCCACGCAGCUGGAGAGCCACGCAGCGCCGGCCCAAGAGGCAGGACGUGACCUCGGCCCUCGGAGAACUCAUCAUUUUCCUACCCUUUGGGGUCCGGCGACCUCGGUAUUUUUCCUAAAGCCUGCUAGGAAGGGCGAGGCCAAGAAGAGAGGGAUUUGGGUUCCCCACCCACCAUCCAGCCGAUAGUAAGGGAAUCCAGGUGUAAGUCCUCGCACUGCGUCUUCGGACUCAGAAAUCCGCGUGGCCUUGGCCUUUAGCCCUGGAAAACCGAAGAGUGAGCCUUCCCCCGGGACCAGGAGUGGGUGUGCCUGUGUGCGUAUGCGCGCUGACCCGGCCAAAACCCGCGCGUCACUCGGUGGGGCUGCUGGGGCAACAGCUUCUCGGCACCGACGGCUGCUCUCGGAAGGGCACCCCUCUGCUCUGGCCGCCGGUGCCCAAGGCUCGCGGAUCAACUCCGAGUCUGUGACCCCGACGACAGCACUUUCUCCCAGGAAGUCUCUCCGGCCAGCUGGCGUUUGGAGCUGUCUAACUAACGCUUUAAUGGGGGCAAGGUGAACCGAAGGCGCAGCGGCGUAGCUUCCUCCGCCGCGGCAAGCAGCGGCAUCCGCUGCGCGUCUCGACGGCAGCGAAGUCCUUAGAGAACCACACUGGACCUUUGCAGAACGGCUUAGUGAAAGGACAUUCCACUCCACUGGCUUUAAAAACAGCUCCCCGGUUCGCACGAGAAGCCCAUGAGGCAGACAUUUAAGACUCAUGAUUUAAGCAUCAAGUAAAUCAGAAUUGUUUGUGAGGUCCCCUCCCGAGAGACAGCUUUCUUAUCAGAGAAAGGUGACAAACUGGCCUCACCCUCUUCCACCCUGGUGAAGCUCCCGCACACGAGGGCUUUUUGGGAUCCCUUCACCUCCCCACCGCUUUCUUUUUCGUUAGAUUGAGCCUCGCCUAAUUCAAGGCCGCCCUGCAUUGGCAGACGUGAUCGUGUGGGGUCCCCACUUGAGAGGUAGAUUUUGUUUUUCGGUCCUGGGGCGUCAGACCCUCCCCCACCAAAUCUCGACGGGCAUAUGUAAUGUUUCUUUCUGCAUUCAUCUACAGCAGCGAACCCCAUUUUUGCUUUGGAAAUCUGGAAACGUAAAUGGCGCUUCCAUAAACAAUUACUGUUAUUACUCCCUUGAGUUUACACAGGGCUUUACUGGAAUGCAAAACGCUACGCCAUCCAAAAUCUGGGUUGGAACGGAUCACUGCCCUGAGACCCCAGCAGGGUGGGUCUCAUACUUGGAUUUUAUGAUGACUUAUGCCGUUGGAGCGCCUGGAAAAUGGAGG